GGAAGGAUGCCAGAGUGGUCGAAUGGGACUGACUCGAAAUCAGUUGUCGCCUUGCUGGCGACCGUGGGUUCGAAUCCCACUCCUUCCG
rnacentral:tRNA from 1 species